rnacentral:rRNA from 1 species
GACGAACGCUGGCGGCGUGCUUAACACAUGCAAGUCGAACGGAAAGGCCCUGCUUUCGUGGGGUGCUCGAGUGGCGAACGGGUGAGUAACACGUGAGUAACCUGCCCUUGACUUUGGGAUAACUUCAGGAAACUGGGGCUAAUACCGGAUAGGAGCUCCUGCUGCAUGGUGGGGGUUGGAAAGUUUCGGCGGUUGGGGAUGGACUCGCGGCUUAUCAGCUUGCUGGUGGGGUAGUGGCUUACCAAGGCUUUGACGGGUAGCCGGCCUGAGAGGGUGACCGGCCACAUUGGGACUGCGAUACGGCCCAGUCUCCUACGGUAGGCAGCAGUGGGGAAUAUUGCACAAUGGGCGGGAGCCUGAUGCAGCAACGCCGCGUGCGGGAUGACGGCCUUCGGGUAGUAAACCGCUUUCGCCUGUGACGAAGCGUGAGUGACGGUAAUGGGUAAAGAAGCACCGGCUAACUACGUG